AAAGAAGUUAUACAUAAGCUAUAUAAACUUUUUACUGUGACCAACAAGCAUAAAUUUGGGAAAGGGGAUGUAUUUUAAAACACGCUUAUGAUUAGUUACUCUGCGGCUACCUUAUGUUUUCACAAAGGAAUGUGAUACAGCAGAAAUAGGGGUAAAUAUUUCAGCAAUUAGAAAAUACGCAGAGAUCUUUGUACUCCCGCACCUGGAUAUGCUCCUAUUCCAACCCUAAAAAGGAAGCCCCCUCUGCUGGCUCUGACAGUAUAUUACUUUAUUCCUUUAAACUGUGGUCCUUACAAGCUGCUACUCAAAUUGCUCUCAUUUAGGUUCCUGAUGUUCAUCUGUGAUCUGCAGGGAUUGCUCUGCUGCUCUGAAUUGCACCAGAGCAAUCCCAGCCAACUGAACAGACGCUCCUCUUCACUCCUCUGCUUUAUGGUGAUGAUGCCACUGGUACUGGACCUUUGGAGACACAGUUACUUCUCCUGAUCACCACUGGGUUCCUUCACAGCCUGCUGUUACUCCUGCUUCUCUGAAGUAUAUACUCUUAUGUUGGAUGGGAAAAUAUGGCCUCUAACAACAUGAGUAACAUCCUUUCACUGCACACCAGUUGCACAUAGAGAAGAGGAAAACUAGAAUGUCAAGAAGGAAAAAGCACCAUCUCUUUUACCUGUCAGUACUAGGACCUACAGACCUUUCCAUCUUAAUUUAUCAUGAAGACCUAGCUAAAAAUACAGUUCCUGACAAGUGGUUCCAAAUAAAUUAAUUGAAAACAUCAACAAGAAAGAUCAUUGACACUUCUGCUAGUUUUACUUUCCUGCAAAAUGAAUCAUUCUGGGUACUGCUGUUUCUUCUGUAGCCUGGAGUAUAACUGUUUACACAUUUAAAAGAGGAUUGUUCAGCUCAUGCAGUCACCUUGGAAAAUGCCAACCAGAUUCCUUUAUGAUGGAACUAAACUGGGAUAUAUUCCCUGGAAGCAUUGUGAAAAUACACCAACUGCAAAAAGGGACAAAGCUCAUGGGCAACACAAGGACCAAUCUAAAUUAAACUCCCCUUGAAAUGUGUACAUCGGGGACACUGGAUCUUAAACAUUAUUUGUUUUGUUUUGCAAAUCUACUGCUUAGCUACACUGCUAGACCAUACAUAACCCUGAAGACCAUAAAGUUUAUUCACUGAAUGCUGAACUUCUCUGAAAAUCUAAAUGUGAGAAUGACAAAAAGCAGUUCACAGACAUUGUAAUUCUUCUCUGCACAGAUAAAUGCACAGUGUCUCAAAAAUACUUCAACAGAGUCUUUUGAAAAUCCAUGGCAUCAUCGGAGAAACAGAUCUGACUGAUUUUGUCUGAAAAAAAAAUUUAGAAGAUGGUUUCAUUUGUAUUUUAGCACAGGAAAUUGUCAGAAGUCUGCCAACAGUUCUGUAAAAUUCUCCAUCUCCUCACUACUUCUUCAAUCUGCAUCCUUUCCCUAAUGAAAUAUACCAUCUCUGCUAUCAAUUCAGCAGUGUGCAAGCACACGCUCAGCUUUCUAGGAGCAAUUCAGUAACAUUCAACCACCCAGAUGUCUGGAAAUGUCUUCACCAGGAACCUGGCAUAACUGGUACAGAUGCUGAAGGAACCUGGGUGAUGGUUGGCAAAAAAGAGGGACUAAUACAAUUAAAAGAAGAUUAUACAAUUGCUGUCAACAACUCAGAUUGGAUGAAAUAUCAGUGCAUCAUACAUGAAGAUAAUUUAUAUGUGCAAGCUUUAAACAUGGAUAAUGUCUUGUGAAUUUCAUGAAGAAGAGAUCGAAUCAUUGCUAAUUCCGAAGUUCAGUAAAAGUAUGAAUGCUCACCAUAGGGAGAUCGCUUACUUUUCUGAAGGAAGGUGGCUGUAUUGGGACAGUAUGUACAUUUGUGAACAACCGUUUUCAAGGAUGAAACACAGGAAGAGUAAAAUUUCACCAAAAAUCUCUGAUGAACACCUUGAGAACUCACUGAGAAUUGCAACCACUGCUAUCAAACCAGACAUUAAUGCAUUACUUUCACAAAAAAAGCUCUUGGUUGCAACUGACUCCCAGUCCUUGGACUCCCACCCACUUCAUAAUUAAGUGCCCUACCUGAAAAGAAGGUGGGGCUAAUACUGUGUGCUGCAGAGAGAGGUUUGAGAAGCCCCUGGCAGACAAUUACGAUGUGACUCCCCAUAGCAAAGUUUUGGUCUCAACAGCCGUUGAGGUUUUUGCAUUUGUAGUAAUACAGUUUUCUGUUCUCUGCAAUAUUUUAACUGUUAUAUUGUCACCACAGUGUGGUCUGUUGUUCACCCAAGUUAGCUGAACCCUGUACAUCGCUGGGAAAGCCUCAUAACACUAAAUCCCCUGGUUUAUUUUUGAAAAUAGGCAUUUUUUUUAUUGCUUUUAUAUGUGUGACUUGCUAAUUACAUAGAAUUCCCCUUUUACCACUAUAAUGCCACAGAUAAAUGAACUUGCUGAUUUUUCCUUGUAUAGUAAUCCUUUACACAUACUUAUAUGCAUCACAACAUUUCUCCCACUUAUCCACUUCCCACAUUCACUGUGUAAUCCAGACUUGUUCACUGCACAACGAAUCCUCUCUGUGUUCUGUCAGGACUCUGCAUUGUGUGUCAUCUGGUCCCUCCUGGGAAUGGAUAUGGGGGGCAAUAUCAACCCCUCAAAAAUUAAAAGAAAAAAAAGCUACAUAUUUCUGAUUUUUUUUUUUAUGCCAAUAGAAACAUUUUGCUCUUUACCGC
rnacentral:lncRNA from 1 species